rnacentral:rRNA from 1 species
AGCGGUGUUCAGCCGCAUGAAGUUGAGCAAUAACAGGUCUGUGAUGCCCUUAGAUGUCCAGGGCUGCACGCGCGCUACACUGGAGGAAUCAGCGUGCUGUAACCAUUGCCGAAAGGUAUUGGUAACCCCUUGAAAAUCCUCCGUGAUCGGGAUCGGGAAUUGCAAUUAUUUCCCUUGAACGAGGAAUUCCUAGUAAGUGUGAGUCAUCAGCUCACGUUGAUUACGUCCCUGCCCUUUGUACACACCGCCCGUCGCUGCCCGGGACUGAGCCGUUUCGAGAAAAGCGGGGACUGCUGUUUCGAGACCUUUCCAGGUGGAGAUUCUUUGGUGGGAACCGCCUUAAUCGCAGUGGCUUGAACCGGGCAAAAGUCGUAACAAGGUUUCCGUAGGUGAACCUGCGGAAGGAUCAUUAUCGAGCUAAACCAAAAAGUCUCCUUACGUGCAUAAAUUCCAUUUGUGCGUAAUCGUGAGCCAUGCAUCAAGCCAUACACAUGUGGUGGCAGCCGUCCGCUGUUUUGUGGCGGACAAUGGCUUUGGCUUGAUGUGUGAUGAGGGGAAGUGAGUGACCUGAUAUGCUUGACAGGCAGGUCGAUUGCGCUCAUUUUCUCGUUAUUUGUAACAACGGUAUCCAUUUGGCGUCUACGCCGUACCUAGCUAUCGCCUGGACCGUCGAUAGCAAUGAAAGGUGCGGAGAAAGUUCCUUAUUUUGAGUUGAGCAGACUUAAUGAGCCCUGCAAGAGGGCCGCCAAAACCAAAACACAACCAUUUCUUUAUUUUUUAUAGUUGAUCGGUAAAUCGAGGUGUUCGUUAUCUGACAACAUGUGGUUGUCGAUGCGGAUGUCUUGGUGAAUCGUUAACUA